GUAUGAAGUUGGAAUCGCUAGUAAUCGCGGAUCAGCAUGCCGCGGUGAAUACGUUCCCGGGCCUUGUACACACCGCCCGUCACACCAUGAGAGUCGGGAACACCCGAAGUCCGUAGCCUAACCGCAAGGGGGGCGCGGCCGAAGGUGGGUUCGAUAAUUGGGGUGAAGUCGUAACAAGGUACC
rnacentral:rRNA from 1 species